ACCUUUGAGUCAACGGUCAUCACAGAGGGCUUUGGACCCUUCAGUCUGAGGUUCGAAUCUCCUCGGAGGUG
rnacentral:tRNA from 1 species